AGUAGGCUGGGCUCACAGCUGCAGCCCAGUUUUGGGCUAACCGGGAAUAGGGGCUUGAGAAAGCCCAGAGGCGAAGUCAAAGAGAAGCAGCUGCGCCCCGGUGAAGAAAAGCUCGCCCAUCACCGGCUGGGAGGCAGCUUUCAGCAUGAUCCGCCACUACGUGUCCAUCCUACUGCAGAGCGACAAGAAGCUCACCCAGAAACAAGUAUAUGACAGGGUCUUGCUCUCUCACCAAGGCUGAAUUGCAGUGGUGCCACCACAG